CAGAGAGUGAGAGCUGAACACGCAGGAGCUGUACCAGAGCUUCAGCUACAGAGAUAAAAGCUGGCCGGACAAAACCCACAGCAGCGUGUCGAAACGCUACCAUCUUCUAGGAAAACAACAGGCACAACUUGAAAUCCGAGGGCUUCAGGCUGUCCUUCCCGUCCCACCCCCUCCCCGCCCAGGCGCAGCCCCGGGCUGCAGCUCGAGCUUGGAGCGGUGCGACCAGCGGAACGGCAGGGUGCCGGUUUCUAGCUGUGCUAAUGACUAAGGGACGGAGCUUGCUUUCUGGCAAUUUCCAGGCAGGGAGAGAGAGCUGCGGCGCUCGUACCUCAGCGACAGAAAGAGCAGAAAGAAGUAAAAAGUGGGAAAAGUAGAGAGAAUGAUGAACAAUAUGUACAGGAAGAAAACUGAAGAGAAAAACAGACUGAGGAUGAGAUGCCUGAGGGAAAGGCAGAAGAAAAAAACAACAUGGGGCUGAAAUGUCUUCUAUCAUCCAAUGAAAGGAAAGGAUAAAACAUACAGUACACAGAGCAGCUUUAUAUGAUUAUAGCAACUUGAGUUCUGAAAGAAAGGAGGCUCAGAAGAGAUUUCCUUUCCUUCCCAGAUAGAGCUUUUGUGAAACAUUGUCCUAAACAAAUAAAAGAUUUUUUGCUCAAAUGA